CACUCUGUGAUAUGUACUGAUGGGUGGCAGUAGCUUAUUAAUUACCUUAAGAAAUAUCUGUUAAUGUGUUGGGUAGGUAACUGAUUACCUUCUUGGACAGCAACGUUUUAACCCUUAAAGAUGAAUGCUUAGCAAUUUAGUCAAUUAUAGAGCUGGCUAGGGGAUGGGAAUGUUUUUGAACAAAAGCAGUAUUUUCUUCUGGCCCUUUCUCCUAAGAGGGACAAUGACACAAAUCUGUUCAAAUAAAUUAAUGUUGCCUUUUUGAUGACUACCCCAUAUGGCAGGAAGAGGUUUACAUGCCAACAUGUAGGCUGACAGACGUCCCCCACCAAUCCCUUCAUUGUAUAUUUGCACUAAUAGGCAUGAAAUGGAGUAAAUUCAUUUUUCUGUUUUUCAGGGUUAUAUUCAUUGACCUACAUAUCUGCUAAUCUGUGUAAUGGUUUAUGCAGGAAAUUGCAAUUGAAGAAAGAUCUUACAUCAUACCAAGAGCGGAGGUUCCAGAGACGUGAUUUUCAAUUUAUCAAGAUGGGCAAUGGAUACUUUCAGUGUUCCUUGAGUAACAGAAAUGGCUUUUUUAUUGGGAAGUUCCAAGUUUUGGGAGUUACAGAACGAGGAGUAUCUAAAGACUGCUUCAAAAAGCAGAUAAAGAAGAGGCUAAUUCACUCUAGAAGGUGAACCAAGAAAUGCCAUGGGAGAAUGCUGGAAGGUUUAGCAUGUGAAUUGUUCUAGAACAGUCAAAGAUAAUUAGAAAGAACUGAGAAAUGGCAAAAGAACUUUUUGAGGAGAUUUAUUGUGGAUUAUAAAUUGGACAGCAAGUACAAAUUGAGAGGUAAAAUACAAAUUGGAAUUGCAUUUGAGAUGUCUUAAUUGCUGAACUGCCUUUUGAAGGUAUUUCAUAUGGAUAUGGAGUCACCGGGGACCCUGGCUUUUUGUCAGGCUACAUUGUUACCGAAGACAUAAAGCGAUUAGUUUUAAAGGAAGUAACGAUGUGCUCCUGGGGCUCAGGGUAAAAUUCUGAUGGGAUUUUGAGAAAUGAAAAGGUGAUAUUUAAACAGGUCUUUGAAGGCUGUAAGAAGUCUUUGUGGGAGGGGCAAGACAUUCGGUGAUGAAGAUAACGUCUGAAGAAAUACCAAGUUGUUUGAAAGUAUAAAUCUUCUGUGUAUUGAACUGUAGUUCUUAUGGCCGAAUAUGAUAAGCAAUGAAGUUUUAAAAUUUGUUAUAACUACUGUUAUUUAUUGAAUGCUUAGUAAAUGCCAGGUAUUGUACAAUUAUCUUAAUCCGUGGAACCAAAUUGUCACUACAUUCAUCAUCACAGUCAAAGGUAAAUAAUUAGAAGAGGACUGAGACUGGAAUCCUGGUGAAUGCUGACACUUAAAGCCUAGGCAGAGAAAUAGAAGACUGAAAUAUGAAUGAUCAGGGAUAGUAGACAAUCAACAGAAAUGAGUGGAACAAAGCAGAGGAGAAAUGUUCCAAGACGGUGGGGUGGGCAACAGUGCCAAAUUUCAAUAGUUUGAGGGCUGAGAGGAGAGAGUAGGAGCUAACAUUUAGGAGAUCAUUAUUGGUGUUUGGGGAGAGAGUUUUCAGUAGAAUAUUGGGAAUGGAGAUGGUAUUAGAGGAAGCUUUGGUAAAUGUGUGAUGAGGAGGUGGAAGCAGCUGCUCUUGAGGAUUAAUGGCU
rnacentral:lncRNA from 1 species